rnacentral:rRNA from 1 species
UACAGAGGGGGCAAGCGUCGUUCGGAAUUACUGGGCGUAAAGGGCGCGUAGGCGGCCUUCUAAGUCGAACGUGAAAUCCCUGGGCUCAACCCAGGAACUGCGUCCGAUACUGGAAGGCUUGAAUCCGGGAGAGGGAUGCGGAAUUCCAGGUGUAGCGGUGAAAUGCGUAGAUAUCUGGAGGAACACCGGUGGCGAAGGCGGCAUCCUGGACCGGUAUUGACGCUGAGGCGCGAAAGCCAGGGGAGCAAACGGG